GCUGUGAUAGCCGAGUGGUUAAGUUUGUUGGACUUGAAAUCCAAUGGGCAUUGCCCGCGCAGGUUUGAACCCUGCUCGCAGCA